AUACGGAGGAUGCGAGCGUUAUCCGGAUUUAUUGGGUUUAAAGGGUGCGUAGGCGGUUUUUUAAGUCAGCGGUGAAACGCAAGGGCUCAACCCUUGACCUGCCGUUGAAACUGGAGGACUUGAAUGCGGAUGCUGUGGGAGGAAUGUGUGGUGUAGCGGUGAAAUGCAUAGAUAUCACACAGAAAACCGAUUGCGAAGGCAUCUCACAAAUCCGUGAUUGACGCUGAGGCACGAAAGUGUGUGGAUCAAACAGGAUUAGAUACCCUGGUAGUCCACACUGUAAACGAUGAUGACUAACCGCCUGCGAUACAAUGUAGGUGGCCAAGCGAAAGCGAUAAGUCAUCCACCUGGGGAGUACGACCGCAAGGUUGAAACUCAAAGGAAUUGACGGGG
rnacentral:rRNA from 1 species